rnacentral:rRNA from 1 species
GGAUUAGAUACCCUGGUAGUCCACACCGUAAACGCUGUCUACUAGCUGUUUGUGUAUUUUAUACGUGAGUAGCGUAGCUAACGCGCUAAGUAGACCGCCUGGGGAGUACGGCCGCAAGGUUAAAACUCAAAUGAAUUGACGGGGGCCCGCACAAGCGGUGGAGCAUGUGGUUUAAUUCGAUGCAACGCGAAGAACCUUACCUACACUUGACAUCCAGAGAACUUACCAGAGAUGGUUUGGUGCCUUCGGGAACUCUGAGACAGGUGCUGCAUGGCUGUCGUCAGCUCGUGCCG